GGGUUGUGAGGUUAAGCGACUAAGCGUACACGGUGGAUGCCCUGGCAGUCAGAGGCGAUGAAGGGCGUGCUAAUCUGCGAUAAGCGCCGGUAAGGUGAUAUGAACCGUUAUAACCGGCGAUACCCGAAUGGGGAAACCCAGUGUGACUCGUCACACUAUCAUUAACUGAAUCCAUAGGUUAAUGAGGCGAACCGGGGGAACUGAAACAUCUAAGUACCCCGAGGAAAAGAAAUCAACCGAGAUUCCCCCAGUAGCGGCGAGCGAACGGGGAGGAGCCCAGAGCCUGAAUCAGCAUGUGUGUUAGUGGAAGCGUCUGGAAAGGCGCGCGAUACAGGGUGACAGCCCCGUACACAAAAGCGCAUGUGCUGUGAGCUCGAUGAGUAGGGCGGGACACGUGGUAUCCUGUCUGAAUAUGGGGGGACCAUCCUCCAAGGCUAAAUACUCCUGACUGACCGAUAGUGAACCAGUACCGUGAGGGAAAGGCGAAAAGAACCCCGGCGAGGGGAGUGAAAAAGAACCUGAAACCGUGUACGUACAAGCAGUGGGAGCCCCACCACUAAGCCAGUGGUGAACUCCACAUACGCAUCCUUUGCUGAGGAUACGGUUAACGGAGCGAAAGCGACGUUCAACCGCAAAACAAGCAGAGGGGGCUUAGUGGUGGGGUGACUGCGUACCUUUUGUAUAAUGGGUCAGCGACUUAUAUUCUGUAGCAAGGUUAACCGAAUAGGGGAGCCGGAGGGAAACCGAGUCUUAAUUGGGCGUUAAGUUGCAGGGUAUAGACCCGAAACCCGGUGAUCUAGCCAUGGGCAGGUUGAAGGUUGGGUAACACUAACUGGAGGACCGAACCGACUAAUGUUGAAAAAUUAGCGGAUGACCUGUGGCUGGGGGUGAAAGGCCAAUCAAACCGGGAGAUAGCUGGUUCUCCCCGAAAGCUAUUUAGGUAGCGCCUCGUGAACUCAUCUCCGGGGGUAGAGCACUGUUUCGGCUAGGGGGCCAUCCCGGCUUACCAACCCGAUGCAAACUGCGAAUACCGGAGAAUGUUAUCACGGGAGACACACGGCGGGUGCUAACGUCCGUCGUGAAGAGGGAAACAACCCAGACCGCCAGCUAAGGUCCCAAAGUCAUGGUUAAGUGGGAAACGAUGUGGGAAGGCCCAGACAGCCAGGAUGUUGGCUUAGAAGCAGCCAUCAUUUAAAGAAAGCGUAAUAGCUCACUGGUCGAGUCGGCCUGCGCGGAAGAUGUAACGGGGCUAAACCAUGCACCGAAGCUGCGGCAGCGACGCUUAUGCGUUGUUGGGUAGGGGAGCGUUCUGUAAGCCUGUGAAGGUGGCCUGUGAGGGUUGCUGGAGGUAUCAGAAGUGCGAAUGCUGACAUAAGUAACGAUAAAGCGGGUGAAAAGCCCGCUCGCCGGAAGACCAAGGGUUCCUGUCCAACGUUAAUCGGGGCAGGGUGAGUCGACCCCUAAGGCGAGGCCGAAAGGCGUAGUCGAUGGGAAACGGGUUAAUAUUCCCGUACUUGGUGUUACUGCGAAGGGGGGACGGAGAAGGCUAUGUUGGCCGGGCGACGGUUGUCCCGGUUUAAGCGUGUAGGUGUGUGUUCCAGGUAAAUCCGGUUCACUUUAACACUGAGGCGUGAUGACGAGGCACUACGGUGCUGAAGCAACAAAUGCCCUGCUUCCAGGAAAAGCCUCUAAGCAUCAGGUAACAUCAAAUCGUACCCCAAACCGACACAGGUGGUCAGGUAGAGAAUACCAAGGCGCUUGAGAGAACUCGGGUGAAGGAACUAGGCAAAAUGGUGCCGUAACUUCGGGAGAAGGCACGCUGACACGUAGGUGAAGUGAUUUACUCACGGAGCUGAAGUCAGUCGAAGAUACCAGCUGGCUGCAACUGUUUAUUAAAAACACAGCACUGUGCAAACACGAAAGUGGACGUAUACGGUGUGACGCCUGCCCGGUGCCGGAAGGUUAAUUGAUGGGGUCAGCGCAAGCGAAGCUCCUGAUCGAAGCCCCGGUAAACGGCGGCCGUAACUAUAACGGUCCUAAGGUAGCGAAAUUCCUUGUCGGGUAAGUUCCGACCUGCACGAAUGGCGUAAUGAUGGCCAGGCUGUCUCCACCCGAGACUCAGUGAAAUUGAACUCGCUGUGAAGAUGCAGUGUACCCGCGGCAAGACGGAAAGACCCCGUGAACCUUUACUAUAGCUUGACACUGAACAUUGAGCCUUGAUGUGUAGGAUAGGUGGGAGGCUUUGAAGUGUGGACGCCAGUCUGCAUGGAGCCGACCUUGAAAUACCACCCUUUAAUGUUUGAUGUUCUAACGUGGACCCGUGAUCCGGGUUGCGGACAGUGUCUGGUGGGUAGUUUGACUGGGGCGGUCUCCUCCUAAAGAGUAACGGAGGAGCACGAAGGUUGGCUAAUCCUGGUCGGACAUCAGGAGGUUAGUGCAAUGGCAUAAGCCAGCUUGACUGCGAGCGUGACGGCGCGAGCAGGUGCGAAAGCAGGUCAUAGUGAUCCGGUGGUUCUGAAUGGAAGGGCCAUCGCUCAACGGAUAAAAGGUACUCCGGGGAUAACAGGCUGAUACCGCCCAAGAGUUCAUAUCGACGGCGGUGUUUGGCACCUCGAUGUCGGCUCAUCACAUCCUGGGGCUGAAGUAGGUCCCAAGGGUAUGGCUGUUCGCCAUUUAAAGUGGUACGCGAGCUGGGUUUAGAACGUCGUGAGACAGUUCGGUCCCUAUCUGCCGUGGGCGCUGGAGAACUGAGGGGGGCUGCUCCUAGUACGAGAGGACCGGAGUGGACGCAUCACUGGUGUUCGGGUUGUCAUGCCAAUGGCACUGCCCGGUAGCUAAAUGCGGAAGAGAUAAGUGCUGAAAGCAUCUAAGCACGAAACUUGCCCCGAGAUGAGUUCUCCCUGAGACUUAGAGUCUCCUGAAGGAACGUUGAAGACGACGACGUUGAUAGGCCGGGUGUGUAAGCGCAGCGAUGCGUUGAGCUAACCGGUACUAAUGAACCGUGAGGCUUAACCUUACAACGCCGAAG
rnacentral:rRNA from 1 species